UUAGUCUUCCCCUGGUUGAUUUGACAAGCUCCUUUUUUGAAGAUAGUUCUUACUUGCCACUUGAGCUUUGUCACCUCAGGAUGUUUUACCUCCUCAUGCAGGCAGGUUGGGAGUUUGGACUGGCGCACAUACCUGCAAGAUCUAGCCAAUGCAGUGUUGUGGCAAAUGUCACCAGUAAGGAGGUUUGGCUGCCUGUUUUCAAGGUCUGCCCUGAUACGGUGGAGUGUAACCUAGGAUCAGAGUGCUGUGAAAAGAGCUGUGUGUCAAAGAGCUGAGGGAAGUCUGCUGGGGCCUCCCCACUUCCCUUGGGAGCCACGGCACAGAGCUGCCCUUGUCCUCGCUCCUUGUCUGGGGUAGGCUGUAGGGCUGUCUGUGCCUGGCUGUGGACCUUCCUGAUCCUGACCCCGAAUUGCUGACUUGACUUUUUGGCUUGGCCUCAGACCUGGCUCAUCCCUAUGGGCUUCUCUGACGGUCUUUGGGCUCCUGUCUAAACGUGGUUACCGUCACCGGACCUGCUCCACUCUUCUUGCUUGGUCACUGUGGCACUGUGCCGCUUUACAGUGAGGUCCUGUCCUGCUGGCCUGGCUGUCAGCCCGGCUGUGCUCCCCAAGCUCCUCUGCAGCUCCUGCACUGCCCUGCUCCUGGCAUUGACCGUGGCCUUUCAGAUACAGCAUCUCCGUCUGUCUGAGAAGUCGGAGAGUAAAUGAGCAGCGAUACGAGAGGCAUUGUGGCAUCAUGCUGAUUUAUUGCUAUGGCAAAUAAGAAAGAUGUGGCAUUAGCUUUGCCUCCCUUCAUUUCCAACUUCCUGAAAAGACAAACCGAAAAUCGGAUUUAUUGGCAAGAGCUCGGACCGCCAAGAAAACAGCCGGCAGGAGGAGCUCUCUAGACAUUUCGCUGCAUCAUUUUCGGACAGUCACAGCUGCAUGUUUCAAGGGUGUCACUUUAGAUCUACUUUCUUGGGACUUCCUUGCAGACAAUCCAGCAGCAGCAGACGACAGAGACAACUUUGUGGUAUUGCAACUGAGCAGCUCCAGUAAUAUAUUUUUAAUUUUUGUUGAGACUACUCAGAUUCCUUCUCCCACUGUGAUGCCUUUCUCUGUUGUUUUUUUCAGAAACUUAAGGUGUUCAUGAAGAUGUUGGGGAUUCUUUUUAGUCCCUGGAAGGGGCCAAGUGUUUUAUCUUCCAAGAAAGCUAGUGUAAGAUUUUUAUGGACAGCAUCCUAAUUACAGGGUAAAGAAUUCCAAAGCAAUGCUUGUCUUUGCAUAGAAAGAUGUACUCCUGGAUUCCUCAUGACCUCUGAGGGGACCUGUGAAGCAAAGAGCUCCAAAAUGUAUCAGUACCGCUCUGAAUAUUGGCCUGACAAAGUUAUUCAAAUAGUUCUGCCUCCUUGUAUGCAGUUCAUCUUUUUUUUUCUGUAAGAAGCAGGUAUGGAAGACAGUAGUCACUCUUUUGCACAGCACUGCGUUCUCAUUAGUCAGGUGCAAAGUAUCACCCUGCUUCUUAAGGCCAGUCCUGCAGCCCUAAAUUGCGUGGGCCCCAUGGCUGUGCCUCUGCACCACCUUUAAAAAAGAAGUAAGAUUUUAUUUUUUUAAUGUGGUGAAUUCUUUACUUUUGUAAGUCUGGCCCUCAGUUAUCUAAAUGGGAACUAGGUGCCUUCUGGUCUUGAAUGUUGCUGUAAUAAUUAUUUUGAUUCUGAAUGUGCCAGAAACUAUUUUAAUGCAUAUCAGUGUAAAUUAAGUCAAUAGAGAUUCUUCAAAUUUAUCCUGGUGUUCAAGAGAAUGGAAUUCAUGCACUUCAAUUUACAGCUUAUUAAGUGAUCAGAAUUAAUGAACUCGCAACAACCUUU